UCACAUAGCGCUGGGAUCACGAAGAAGCGGACGUGUUUUAAAUUUUGCUCCUUAUGUGCCCUUCAGUGCUUCAUUGUUAUGGCCCCAUGGAUGUGUACGUGUCUAGAGGACUGCGGCAAGCUGGGCAAGGCAUGAGGAUCUGAGUAUCUGACCCAAGCUGAGACAAGGGCUGGUACUGAUGAAGGAAGAAUCGGCUUACGAGGUAACGGGGAGACUUGGCCGGGAGUAGUUAUGGCGGCCCUGCCAACGAAGAUUCAAGGUAAGACAACGCCGUUAUUUCGUUUCGCGGGUUUUCCUCAUCGGUUUUUAUAGUUGAUAAUUUUACUUCCGGUCCAGUUUCUUGCUUAUAUUAAUGACGUAUUCUUAUAAUAGCUACUUUUGCCUCAUGUUAAGACUACACGUAAGAAAAGCUUUGCGUAGAUAAGGAGGCGUUACAAGGCGUCCUGCUCGAUCCUGUCCUGUUGUGACAAGCAAUUAAGGAAGCGGUGGUAGGCGCGGUGUCAUUAAAGGACUAUUCUCGUACGUAAAGCGGUCGCGGUCUUGAAAAGUGAGGCGUACGUGAGUGACGGCAUGAUCCAACCUCCGAGCCAGUGACCAAUCAGCGGCCGGCCUUCACUUAACAAGCCAUCACCACCACUCAUCCUCGUCACGCAGAUUCCUUCUCGCUGCUAAAUCAGGCAAGUGAAAUAUUCCUUGAACAAUAAAUAAUGCAUAUACAAUUAUCAAUGUGUUCCUUAAGUGUGUGUUGUAGUGACUGGCCAGCCGGCUAGCCACUCCACGCUAAUUCUCGUGAGGCUGAUCACGUGACUCCCGCCACCCGGCUCAUCCCUACCUCCGAACCCCCGCCGCCCCACCCCUGCCUCCCACCCUGCUCCCGCUUCAUCCUCAGCCCCAUCCCACGUCCACCUUGCCAUCCCAAGCCCUACCCAACGCCCGCCGUCUCACUCCCAGUCCCACCUCUCUGAUGUUUUCAUAUUCUUCCUACUUCACCCACACCUCAUGCCAGCCGCCCAACUAACCACUCUUCCCCCUGUCAGCAAAGCCUCCAGCAUCAUUCCUGGCCGCAGCAUCAUAGCCCGGCAUGGCGUGGUGGCCUAUGUGGUACUGCGCCCAGUCUGUUCAAGGGAUGGGGGAAGUUGAAGGACGCGCAGAAAUGCCUCCCCCUCCUGCUGCGACACCUGCUGUAGGAUCCAGAAGUGACCAUCUUUGGCGAGUGUCGUUGAGUGGGCUUAAGAGGAGUGCAAGAGGCGCCUUAGGACUCGAGAGGGGCCGUCAAAGUAGU